CCUCCACCCUUUUAUUUUCUUUCCCACCUCUAUUUCAUCAUCUCCCGCCUCUGUUUCUCUCUCUCUAGCUCGGCGGACGGCAUCAAUGGACUGGAUAUGGUUGAAGCAGUGAAGCGUGAAGCCCGCCUCUCUCUCAGCUGAAGCGUCCUUUUUCAGCCCACUUCAAUUUCUAGCUAAUUCCCAGAAUUUCAUCCUAGGAUUCAUUCACUGUGUCUUGAAACUUGCUACGAUGGGUUGUACGACCCGAUCGUCUUGGGCCAAUGGGAUGGUGAAAGUUCUUGCUCUAACAGAUCAUGACACAAUGCCAAGCAUCCCUGAGGCUCUAGAAGCUGCUAGAAGAUUUCGCAUCAAGAUAAUUCCAAAUGUUGAAAUCAGUACAAUAUUAGGGGAAGUGAGCCUCUUGCAGAAGACGCUAUACAAUUGAUAUCUAAUACUUGGGGUGUAGCUGUGCUAGCUCAUCCAGGAGCACUGAAAAAUCAUGUUGCCAUUAUCAGGAGGCUGAAAGAGGCUGGCCUUCAUGGGAUGGAGGUUUACACAAGUGAUGAAAACUAGCAGCAUACAGUGACGUAGCAGAUGGUUAUGGUCUUUUAAAGCUGGGAGGAUCAGAUUAUCAUGGAAGAGGUGGGCAUGGUGAAUCUGAAUUGGGAAGUGUGAACCUUCCUAUAUUGGCUGCUCAUGACUUCCUUAAGGUAGCUCAACCGAUCUGGUGUCGUGCCAUCUGAAACAUUUUAGAGAGUUAUGCCGACGAGCUUUCUGAUUUGAAUCUAGCGAAGAUUACAAGAUUUGGGAGGGGCCCAAUUUUUAAUAGGGGCUCUCCAGUGAGUUGCAGCAAGGACUUAAUUGAUUGUUGCAUGUCUUUGUGGUUGACCAAUGAAGAGAGUCAAAAUGCAGAGUUUGAAGCUAUCUCUAUUAAUCAGGGAGGAAUUCAGGUUCCUAUUGAAAGUGAAUUGUUGCGAAUUGAAUAUUCAUCUUCUUUAUCAAAUUCAUUUUCACCAUCUCAUUUUUGGCAUUUAUGCUGUCAUAUUUAACUAA